GCCUUCGGGUUGUAAACCCCUUUCGCCCGGGACGAAGGGGCCGGGACCUAAACUCCAGAGGAAGGGCCGUCCCCUACAGGGCACCCGGCGGUAUAUUAG
rnacentral:rRNA from 1 species